GAUUAAAAACUGCAUAUAUUUAAUGUGUAUGAUUUGAUGAAUUUCUUAGUAGCUACAUAAUAUUCUGAUAUGGUUGCACCAUUACCUAUUUUCUCAAUCCCUAUUUUAAGAUACUUGAGUUGUUUCCAGGUUUUUGCUAUUACAAACAACAUCGUGAUUAACUUCUCUGUAUAUAGAACUGUUUUUGAAUUUUGGAUUAUUUCAUUAAAACAGGUUAGAGUUAUUCAUUGAUCCUCAUUGUAACAGUUAGGAAACCAGAUGCUCCUAUGUUCCCAAGGACAGCCUUUCCCAGGGAAGUCAGAUUCUGCCCUCCCAGCAAGCUGCUGGUCUGCAUCCCCUCCUCCUCUUGAGCAUCCAUCCUAAUGCCAAUCUCAGGAUUGAGUUUCCACAAAAGACAAGGAACAGCCUUUGCCUUCACGUUGACUUGGCUUUCCUUGCCCACUGCCUGGAGGUUUCCUUGAAAUCAUGUGCCAAGCAGUAGGAGGAGUUUCCUGUGCUUGUAGUGCCUGAUCUUCUCCACACAUCUGUGAGGUCCUGUGCCUCAAAAGACAGAUGAAUCUUGUGAGACGGACUCCUGUUCUCAAGGAAGGAAAAUGCCUGAACACAGAUCACAAGCCAACCAGAGUGAGAGACAUCUGAACCAGUCUACAUAAAACAGCUUGGGGAUGGAGACUGAUUUCUGGAUUCUUGUUAGAAAACAGGCUGUCUUCCUGCCUAUGUCCUGAGGAGAAAAGGGAAAUUAAUGUAACUGAAGAGGCUGGGGUCACCUUGGUUUUACACUCUCAAUUAAAGUCUGCUUGCUGUCAAACACA
rnacentral:lncRNA from 1 species